rnacentral:rRNA from 1 species
ACUCCUACGGGAGGCAGCAGUGGGGAAUCUUAGACAAUGGGGAAACCCGUGCAUCUAGCCAUGCCGCGUGAGCGAUGAAGGCCUUAGGGUUGUAAAGCUCUUUCAGCUGGGAAGAUAAUGACGGUACCAGCAGAAGAAGCCCCGGCUAACUCCGUGCCAGCAGCCGCGGUAAUACGGAGGGGACUAGCGUUGUUCGGAAUUACUGGGCGUAAAGCGCACGUAGGCGGAUU